rnacentral:tRNA from 1 species
GGAGAGGUACCGAAGCGGUCAUAACGGGGCGGUCUUGAAAACCGUUAGAGGUCAAACUCACAAGGGUUCGAAUCCCUUCCUCUCCUCCA